AGGACAAACGCUGGCGGCGUGCAUAACACAUGCAAGUCGAACGAGUGCAGCAAUGCACGAGUGGCGGACGGGUGAGGAACACGUGGAUGACCGACCUUUUACUGGGGAAUACCCGUGGGAAACCACGGCUAAUACCGCAUACGUUCGAGAGAAGAAAGCCUUCGGGCGGUAAGAGACGGGUCUGCGGUCGAUUAGCUAGUUGGUGCGGUAACGGCCUCCCAAGGCGACGAUCGGUAGCUGGUCUGAGAGGACGAUCAGCCACACUGGGAUUGAGAACGGCCCAGACUCCUACGGGGGGCAGCAGUGAGGAAUUUUCCGCAAUGGACGAAAGUCUGACGGAGCAACGCCGCGUGCAGGAGGAAGGUUUUCGGAUCGUAAACUGCUUUUCUCGGGGACGAGCAAGGACGGUACCCGAGGAAGAAGCCCCGGCUAACUACGUGCCAGCAGCCGC
rnacentral:rRNA from 1 species